CUGUUUCGGCAAGGGGGUCAUCCCGACUUACCAACCCGAUGCAAACUGCGAAUACCGGAGAAUGUUAUCACGGGAGACACACGGCGGGUGCUAACGUCCGUCGUGAAGAGGGAAACAACCCAGACCGCCAGCUAAGGUCCCAAAGUCAUGGUUAAGUGGGAAACGAUGUGGGAAGGCCCAGACAGCCAGGAUGUUGGCUUAGAAGCAGCCAUCAUUUAAAGAAAGCGUAAUAGCUCACUGGUCGAGUCGGCCUGCGCGGAAGAUGUAACGGGGCUAAACCAUGCACCGAAGCUGCGGCAGCGACGCUGAUGCGUUGUUGGGUAGGGGAGCGUUCUGUAAGCCUGCGAAGGUGUGCUGUGAGGCAUGCUGGAGGUAUCAGAAGUGCGAAUGCUGACAUAAGUAACGAUAAAGCGGGUGAAAAGCCCGCUCGCCGGAAGACCAAGGGUUCCUGUCCAACGUUAAUCGGGGCAGGGUGAGUCGACCCCUAAGGCGAGGCCGAAAGGCGUAGUCGAUGGGAAACAGGUUAAUAUUCCUGUACUUGGUGUUACUGCGAAGGGGGGACGGAGAAGGCUAUGUUGGCCGGGCGACGGUUGUCCCGGUUUAAGCGUGUAGGCUGGUUUUCCAGGCAAAUCCGGAAAAUCAAGGCUGAGGCGUGAUGACGAGGCACUACGGUGCUGAAGCAACAAAUGCCCUGCUUCCAGGAAAAGCCUCUAAGCAUCAGGUAACAUCAAAUCGUACCCCAAACCGACACAGGUGGUCAGGUAGAGAAUACCAAGGCGCUUGAGAGAACUCGGGUGAAGGAACUAGGCAAAAUGGUGCCGUAACUUCGGGAGAAGGCACGCUGAUAUGUAGGUGAGGUCCCUCGCGGAUGGAGCUGAAAUCAGUCGAAGAUACCAGCUGGCUGCAACUGUUUAUUAAAAACACAGCACUGUGCAAACACGAAAGUGGACGUAUACGGUGUGACGCCUGCCCGGUGCCGGAAGGUUAAUUGAUGGGGUCAGCGCAAGCGAAGCUCUUGAUCGAAGCCCCGGUAAACGGCGGCCGUAACUAUAACGGUCCUAAGGUAGCGAAAUUCCUUGUCGGGUAAGUUCCGACCUGCACGAAUGGCGUAAUGAUGGCCAGGCUGUCUCCACCCGAGACUCAGUGAAAUUGAACUCGCUGUGAAGAUGCAGUGUACCCGCGGCAAGACGGAAAGACCCCGUGAACCUUUACUAUAGCUUGACACUGAACAUUGAGCCUUGAUGUGUAGGAUAGGUGGGAGGCUUUGAAGUGUGGACGCCAGUCUGCAUGGAGCCGACCUUGAAAUACCACCCUUUAAUGUUUGAUGUUCUAACGUUGACCCGUAAUCCGGGUUGCGGACAGUGUCUGGUGGGUAGUUUGACUGGGGCGGUCUCCUCCUAAAGAGUAACGGAGGAGCACGAAGGUUGGCUAAUCCUGGUCGGACAUCAGGAGGUUAGUGCAAUGGCAUAAGCCAGCUUGACUGCGAGCGUGACGGCGCGAGCAGGUGCGAAAGCAGGUCAUAGUGAUCCGGUGGUUCUGAAUGGAAGGGCCAUCGCUCAACGGAUAAAAGGUACUCCGGGGAUAACAGGCUGAUACCGCCCAAGAGUUCAUAUCGACGGCGGUGUUUGGCACCUCGAUGUCGGCUCAUCACAUCCUGGGGCUGAAGUAGGUCCCAAGGGUAUGGCUGUUCGCCAUUUAAAGUGGUACGCGAGCUGGGUUUAGAACGUCGUGAGACAGUUCGGUCCCUAUCUGCCGUGGGCGCUGGAGAACUGAGGGGGGCUGCUCCUAGUACGAGAGGACCGGAGUGGACGCAUCACUGGUGUUCGGGUUGUCAUGCCAAUGGCACUGCCCGGUAGCUAAAUGCGGAAGAGAUAAGUGCUGAAAGCAUCUAAGCACGAAACUUGCCCCGAGAUGAGUUCUCCCUGACCCUUUAAGGGUCCUGAAGGAACGUUGAAGACGACGACGUUGAUAGGCCGGGUGUGUAAGCGCAGCGAUGCGUUGAGCUAACCGGUACUAAUGAACCGUGAGG
rnacentral:rRNA from 1 species